GACGGACCCGCGAGCUGACCCGGUUCCCCAGCCUCCUUUCUCCUUCGCUCGCUCGCGGCGCUGGUGAGGGGGAGAAGCGUCACUGGCGACGACAGCAGCGACGGCGGCCACAACGGCGGCGACGACGGGCUAGACGGCGGCCACAAAGGCGACGACGACACGAUCGACGGCGGCGACAAAACGGUUCCGGCGAGGAUGAGUGAGGAUGGGUCUGUGCCGGUGUGGCCAGCGGCGGCACGGUUUGAGAGGGGGGCUGUGACUGCGACUACGCGACCGGAGGCGACGGAUACCUGGUGGUGGCUGACAAAGGGCUGCAGUUACGGGCGGCGGAUUGGCGACGGCGUCCCUGCAAUUUCCAGAUCUGGUGCAACCUUGGCGGGUCAGUCGCGGCACGUCGUCAAGGCAGGGGACAGCAGCAGUAGCAGAGCCGCGGUUGCAACGGUGGCGCAGAGCCUCCUGCUUCACAGAUCUGGCGUUCCCUCCUCCGGCUCCCCUCACUCAGGCCAGAUCCGAGCCUCCACCGGCCGGAUCUGACCCUCUCGAAGUUGUUCGCCGCCGGCCUUCCCCGAAGUCUCUCGGUGGAGGGUGGGCUGAGCUCACAACUCGAGCUCUCUCUCGCUCGCUCGU
rnacentral:lncRNA from 1 species